UGAAAAUUCGAAAGAGCUCAUAAAAAUUCGAUGGAAGUUGUAGGGUGCUGGAAAAAGUACCGUUCUCAAGUCGAAGCAGAAGCCGUCAUCGUUGAUACAUAAACUACCAAAUAUCGCAUCGAAAAUGUAUAGAUGCACUCACAAAACAAAUACCGCCUUGAUGAUAAUAAAAGCAAUGAUGAUGAUGUCGCUAAGAAUGUCUGUCCGACUGCCUGCCAUCCCAUAAAUUUAUGCUAAAAUUUAAAUUUUCUUUCAAGUAGUUGACCGACCGACCGACCGAUCGAGAGAAAGGUCACCACGAAUGGUGUCGCGGUGACAAAAUGCCACAUAAAUAUUACACGAAGCCCCACUCUGAUAAGCGAAUGUCACUCUUAUUAAAAAUAAAAGAAGGCAAAUGCCCAACAAAGGCGAACCGAUGCCGAUACCCGAAAAUGGAAAUGGAAAUGAUUCUCCCGGUGCAUUGACUUGGGCAGAGGGACAAGUGUAAUGGACACGCUCGGUUCCCAUCCACAUCACGAUGAACUUGAAGUUUCGCACUCGCUUGAUUGAGUUGUUCUUCUUCUUGCACUCUGGUCAGCUGGCAUGGCUCAGCAGAUCGGACUAGCUGUACUUUAUAUAUAACGAUUCGACCAUGGGAACUACUGGCCGCUCUUCAUCAUCUUCCUCAUCAUCCGCGGCAUUGCCGGCAAAAUGUGACAGACAGCAUCCAUUACCCUAACGAUAAUUGGCCAGGGUAUGUGAUUCCCAGAUUUUCAUUGAGAGUUUAGCGAAAAAGAAACGGAAUAUGACAGUCCCCUA